rnacentral:rRNA from 1 species
UGCGUAGGUGGACUAGUAAGUCAGUGGUGAAAUCUCCGGGCUUAACCCGGAAACUGCCAUUGAUACUAUUAGUCUUGAAUACCGUGGAGGUCAGCGGAAUAUGUCAUGUAGCGGUGAAAUGCUUAGAUAUGACAUAGAACACCAAUUGCGAAGGCAGCUGGCUACACGAAUAUUGACACUCAGGCACGAAAGCGUGGGGAUCAAACA